rnacentral:lncRNA from 1 species
UUAGUAAACUUUCAUAUUUGCUUUCUUUAAUUCUUGUUUCCAACCUGAAAAUCUACAGGUCCUUUGUCAUAAAAGCCCCACAGCAUUCUCUCACAUAUUCUUCCAGCACUGUGAAUCCAGGCACAACAGAUUUGUGUUAGUUCAAGAGACAGCAAGACAGAUCCACGUAUGUGUCUGCCAGCGUGUCAGGGUACAGGUCCUGACCAGAUUGUCACUGAUGAAGAUGGAAACAGAACACAUAAGUGAGAUUUGGCCCAGGUGUCUUCUAGAUUUUUCUUGAUCCUGAAGAUUUGAGCUGAAGUAAUUCACAGUGAGUGCCAUAUGAACUCAGUAUUCUCUGUUCCCUUUUUCUGUUGUAG